GUCUUGUUGAUAAUAAUUUCAAGUCUGGCCUGCCCAAUGAUUAAGAUUAAAUGGCCGCGGUAAAUUGACCGUGCAAAGGUAGCAUAAUCACUAGUUUUUUAAUUGAAAGCUUGAAUGAAGGGUUUGAUGAAAGAAUUUCUGUCUCUAGAAAAAUUAAUUAGAAUUUUAUUUUUAAGUGAAAAAGCUUAAAUUUUUAUAGAAGACGAGAAGACCCUAUAGAGUUUUAUAUUAUAAAUAUAUAAAAAAAAUUUUAAAAUUUUUAUAUUUUUAUAAUAUUUAGUUGGGGUGAUUAGAAAAUUAAAGAAACUUUUUUUUAUAAAAUAACAUUGAUUUAUGAAUAAAUGAUCCUAGAGUUUAGAUUAAAAGAUUAAAUUACCUUAGGGAUAACAGCGUUAUUUUUUUUAGAGUUCUUAUCGAAAAAAAAGAUUGCGACCUCGAUGUUGGAUUAAAAUAAAUUAUUGGUGUAGAAGCUAAUGAAUUAAGUCUGUUCGACUUUUAAUAUUUUACAUGAUCUGAGUUUAGACCGGUGUAAG
rnacentral:rRNA from 1 species